UGUUAAGAUGAGUCAUAUUGGUAUUAAUCCAAUAUGAUUGGUAUUCUUAUAAGGAGAGGAGAAGAGUCACAGAGACAAGCACGCACCACGGGAAGACGGUGUGGAGACACAGGGAGACAGCCGUGUGGCCACAGAAGCAGAGAUUGGAGCUGUGCAGCUACAAGGCAAGGAUUGCUGGCAACAGCAGAAGCUAAGAGAAAGUGGAUUGUUCCAGAAUAAUGCUGCGUGUGGGUAGCUGUGGGGAACCAGCAUUGAACAGAGGGGAGAUUUUUUUCCCCUUAAGUUUGAUGAGCUUAAAGGAGAGCCUAUGAGAAGUGAGGUGAAAACUGAAGGUAGGAGAGAAAUUCCUCAUCUCCCUCAAAUGAAGUACAUCAUGCCUUAUAAGCUCAGAG